rnacentral:rRNA from 1 species
CGUGGUGAGUAACACGUGGAUAACCUACCUAUAAGACUGGGAUAACUUCGGGAAACCGGAGCUAAUACCGGAUAAUAUAUUGAACCGCAUGGUUCAAUAGUGAAAGACGGUUUUGCUGUCACUUAUAGAUGGAUCCGCGCCGCAUUAGCUAGUUGGUAAGGUAACGGCUUACCAAGGCAACGAUGCGUAGCCGACCUGAGAGGGUGAUCGGCCACACUGGAACUGAGACACGGUCCAG